rnacentral:rRNA from 1 species
AAAACGGAGAGUUUGAUCCUGGCUCAGGAUGAACGCUGGCGGUAUGCUUAACACAUGCAAGUCGAACGGUCUUUUUCGGAAGAUAGUG